UCCAUGCCUCGAGGGGGCAGCAUUUGACCAUUAAUGUGUAUUUUCCCUCCAAAUUUGUAGACGAUGAAUUUGUACACAACCGCAGAUGUUCCCACGGCGAAGGUUGUUCCAAGAGAGAAAAAAGCUCAAACGACACUUUUGGUAAGUCAACGAAAACCGGGGUCUCAAAUCGAUCGUGAGUGGAUAAAGGACAAAUCAACCCUUCUGUUUGGAAGCGCAAUGAAUGAGAAGGAGUCGGCGCUGUUAACUCCUAUCCGCCGAGCGAUUAGUCUUCCCAUUUGGAGUAAUGGCGAGCGGACCACUUCAGCGUUCUCAAAAGUGCUGCGGAACGCAGAUGGAGAAAGGAUGCAAGUUGGGAAAACAACCCCCCCGCCCCCUGCUCCCACAUCUCAUGGGGAAUUUGCCCACCUGGCAUAUGGCAAGGUGCCCCCAUGCCAAGGUGUUAGCUCGUCAACAAUCCAGGGAUGAAAGUGUGCCAGACAGUGUCAUCUGCUUGAAAGUGGAUCUGGAUCUUCACCCAACCCAGCUUCCAAUUCAUGAGCUGCGCAGAAACUCAAGCCGGGUUGCAUAUCUCUUCUGCGGCUCACAGGGUGCAGCAAGCGAGAUCAGGUGGGCCUAUUCAGAUUUUUUUUCCCUACUGGCUAUUAUCAAGUGAUUUGGUCCAACUUUAUCUCAAAGCAAAGCUAUGAUUUAUCUCUAUCCCGGUGCCAAGAUAAAUGACCCCCCCCCCUCCCGUGUAAAAAUACAAUUGGUGUAAAUGGAUCAUUCUUCGCCGCGGCGCUCCACAACUCCUGCGUUAUGUACCUCGGUGGCAGGUAAUGUUUUUCAUUAUAUGCCAGGCCAGUUUUAUAUAUAGAAAAGGGUGGGAAGGGACUUUGCCCGCAGCCAUUUUGCUCGGUAAAUCCCCGUAGGUGCAUCCAGUAUUGAUUGGGAGUUGAGGGAGGGAGCCCUGCGCAUACUAGUCAGGCUAAAUUUAGAGGGCUAAGCAACGCGCACGCACACGCGCACAAUAACAAGCCUCCUGGAAGGGAUGCUGGGAAAUAUUCACACAAGUAGCGAGACAAAGGCCCGUCCUAUCGUACACAAAAAGACAAAACAUCAAAAGAUUUUAUGGCGCCUGCUCUGGCUAAUUAGCUCCGUGUGUCAUCGCAGACGGUUCCCUCUUCCCACAGGCUGAAAGAUUGACAAUCCA